AAAUUGCACAAAACGUAAGAGUUGUGCGGUGAUGUCCCAUAUGCUACCUGUUGUGCUCUGCGUUUCCGUACAAAUUUCGUAAAGGUAAUGCUGUAGAUUGAUUUGCUGAUAAGCUUAUAGCUAUGCUUUGACCGACUUUUAACGCAUAGACAACAAGUCUCGCCAAGAUAAAGGCACAAUAAAGAUCAAGCCCAAGGACAUCUUCCCGCAAUCAGCCCAUCUUCGCGCACGAUGCAACCUCGGCUUGGCAGUAAGGUAGAUCUGGAUGACUAUGAAGCAGCAGAUGACUCAGAACGUGCUGGCCUGCUGGGUGCCGAGGACGGCAGUCGCGGUGACGACUUCUUCCUGCGCGGGCCGCAGCCCGGUCGGCAGCGCGACUCGGUGGCCGCCGUCCGGGAGCAGGUCUCCGAAGUGACCGGCAUUAUGCGUCAGAACGUGGAGAAAAUCGUGGACCGUGGCGCCAACCUGAGUCAGCUGGAGGAGCAGUCGGAACACUUGGCCUCCACAUCAGAUGAUUUCUACAUCAGCUCCCGACAGGUUCAGCGCCGCAUGUAUCUGCGCGACCUGAAGAUGAAGAUCGCGUUGGCAGCGGUCAUUUUGAUUCUUAUGUUGAUCAUUAUUUUACCGAUCGUUCUCAAGAGCUGAACCGCAGGGAGACAAUGUCUAAAUGGGCUGCAAAGUAGACCAUAGAGCUUGAUUGUCCCCUGCUUUUUGUGGUGUUAUCAGCUUUACUGUGAUGCGAAUGAAACUGAUAAUUAUAGCUGUUGGAAACUUGAUAAAAUGUAGCAUAUUAGAUGUUUUCCAGCAUAUAAAUUCCAUUGUUUGAUUGGGUCGAAUUUAUUGUUGAUUGAUGGGUUCUUAUUUUCGGUUAUGGUAGGGACUAACGAGUGCUCGAAUAUAUGAAGGAAGAUCAUUUGUCUAUAAUUUAAGCAACGCAUCGUUGUGUUAAUUACGUGAUUGUCGUUAACAUAAUCAGGCUCAAAUGUUGUUGCCUGAUCAGGCAUCAUAUGUAAAUAACAACUUUAGAGCGGACGUGUCCCCAUCAACCUUACUGUGUUUCGUGACAAUGGGCCUCAUGUACUCGAGUGUUGUGGUGUACCUUCUGGUGUUGAUGUUGCACUAGCCGCUGCACUUUCUGUCUUAUGUUACGAUGUGUGAAGUGUGUGUGUGUGUGUGUGUGUAGCCGCUCCCCUUUUAUUGCAAUUAAUUAUAAGAGAUGCGGUUCGUGUCCUCUUCUAUGCAUUCAGAAUUUACCAGUAAAUUGUUUAUCUUCAGCAACCAUACGAUGAAGAUAUUUCAUUAUCCUGUGUCUGCAUUGACGGCACCUGCUUGGCUUGGCUCGUGAUACGGCUUUAGUGAUAGAUUUAUUUUAUCGUUAUGGAUAAUGUGUUAUUCGAUGUUGCUUGUGUUAUUGUGCGUCAUUACACUGCUUGCUUGGUGAUGGGUAACAUAUGUCACAAUUAUCUAUUUUUUUUGGAAACUGCAAAUUGAUUUAAGCUUGUCCCGCGUCUGUCUUACAGUGUGCUCGUGUUUAUGAUCUCUUUCGACCAAUUGCGAUCUACAUUACCUCUGUGUCUAGGUAAUCUAUAUGUACAAUGGUGGUGUGGCCUAAUCAGACUUGUGAUCAGCUCAGUUGAGCCGGCUCAAAAAUCAGCUCAGCUCAUGAGCCGGCUCAACAUUUUGCCAAAUUGUUGAGCUGUGAGCUGAGCCGGCUCAGUAAUGCAUUGAGCUGAGCUUCUGUCUGAGCUGAGCUGAAUGAGCUUGAGCUGAGCUGAGCUGAAUGAGCUUGAGCUGAGCUGAGCUGAGCUGAGCUGAGCUGAGCUGAUUGAGCUGAGCUGAGCUGAGCUGAGCUGAGCUGAUUGAGCUGAGCUGAGCUGAGCUGAGCUGAUUGAGCUGAGCUGAGCUGAUUGAGCUGAGCUGAGCUGAUUGAGCUGAGCUGAGCUGAGCUGAUUGAGCUGAGCUGAUCCAGUUCUAGUAGGUACACUGGAAGAUGAUGAGAACGGAUAAAAAUAUAAAACCGAAUGCAAUGUGCAUUGAAUACCUAUUGAUACACUAUAAACACUAGAAACAUGAUAAACUGGAAAGAAUAUUAUAUACAAACCAAAGACGUCACUAGGUGAAAGGCCAUGUAGUUCGACUUCGCAAACUGAAGCGAUUGGUCGGGAAAUCGCUACAUUCCUCUAUUGCACCCAGUUCGCACCGUUGUAAGCCGUUCGGUUGGUAUCCUUAUCCACUGCGGCGUGAUGUCCCGACCUGUGUCCCGAUGAUUCGAUGUCCAUGACCAAUCAACACACGCAUUGCCGUGACGUCAUUGGCCGGACCCCGAAACGUUACGGAGAUAUGGG